rnacentral:rRNA from 1 species
GACGAACCGUGCAAACGUUGUUCGGAAUCACUGGGCUUAAAGGGCGCGUAGGCGGGUCUCCAAGUCGGUGGUGAAAUCUUUCGGCUCAACCGGAAAACAGCCGCCGAUACUGGGGGUCUUGAGGGAGGUAGGGGUCGAUGGAACUUCCGGUGGAGCGGUGAAAUGCGUAGAUAUCGGAAGGAACGCCGGUGGCGAAAGCGAUCGACUGGACCUUUUCUGACGCUGAGGCGCGAAAGCCAGGGGAGCAAACGGG